rnacentral:rRNA from 1 species
UACGUAGGGUCCGAGCGUUAAUCGGAAUUACUGGGCGUAAAGCGUGCGCAGGCGGUUUUGUAAGCCAGAUGUGAAAUCCCCGGGCUUAACCUGGGAACUGCAUUUGUGACUGUAGAGCUGGAGUACGGCAGAGGGGGAUGGGAAUUCCGCGUGUAGCAGUGAAAUGCGUAGAUAUGCGGAGGAACACCGAUGGCGAAGGCAAUCCCCUGGGCCUGUACUGACGCUCAUGCACGAAAGCGUGGGGAGCAAACAGG